UCCAGCAGCCGCGGUAAUUCCAGCUCCAAUAGCGUAUAUUAAAAUUGUUGCAGUUAAAAAGCUCGUAGUUGAAUUUCUGCUAAAAAUAACCGGUCUGCUUUUAAUAAAGGUGGUAUCUUGGUGUGUUUUUAGCAAUAAUGUCCUUUGAAAUGUUUUUUACUUUAUUGUAAUAAAUUAUAUUCAGGAUUUUUACUUUGAGAAAAUUAGAGUGUUUCUAGCAGGCUAACGCUUUGAAUACUGCAGCAUGGAAUAAUAAAAUAGGAUUUUGGUUCUACAUUAUUGGUUUUAAGAGCUAAAUUAAUGAUUGAUAGGGACAGUUGGGGGCAUUUGUAUUUAACUGUCAGAGGUGAAAUUCUUAGAUUUGUUAAAGACAAACUACUGCGAAAGA
rnacentral:rRNA from 1 species